GGGGCGAUCGUCCAACGGGAAGACGCAAGCAUCGCACGCUUGAGAUCGGGGUUCGAUUCCCCGUCGCUCCACCA
rnacentral:tRNA from 1 species